rnacentral:rRNA from 1 species
AUUGAACGCUGGCGGCAUGCCUUACACAUGCGAGUCGAACGGCAGCACGGGUGCUUGCACCUGGUGGCGAGUGGCGAACGGGUGAGUAAUACAUCGGAACAUGUCCUGUAGUGGGGGAUAGCCCGGCGAAAGCCGGAUUAAUACCGCAUACGAUCUACGGAUGAAAGCGGGGGACCUUCGGGCCUCGCGCUAUCGGGUUGGCCGAUGGCUGAUUAGCUAGUUGGUGGGGUAAAGGCCUACCAAGGCGACGAUCAGUAGCUGGUCUGAGAGGACGACCAGCCACACUGGGACUGAGACACGGCCCAGACUCCUACGGGAGGCAGCAGUGGGGAAUUUUGGACAAUGGGCGAAAGCCUGAUCCAGCAAUGCCGCGUGUGUGAAGAAGGCCUUCGGGUUGUAAAGCACUUUUGUCCGGAAAGAAAUCCUUGGCCCUAAUACGGUCGGGGGAUGACGGUACCGGAAGAAUAAGCACCGGCUAACUACGUG